rfam:Picea glauca, whole genome shotgun sequence.
UCCGUUGUCGUUUAGUCCAGUUAGGAUACCUGGUUUUCACCCAGGCGACCCGGGUUCAAAUCCCGGCAACGGAA